UUAAAAAUAAGCUAAAUAUAAGCUAAUGAACUCAUAUUUCAUCUAUAAAGUAUAACUUUUUUUUAAA
rnacentral:tRNA from 1 species